ACCUCCUGAACUGAUACACAGCUGAACGGUUCAGGAUUCAGUUCAAUUCAUAGCUUCUAGGACUUGGAGAUGAGAUUGUUUGGCUAUGUUGCUUUGGCAAACAGGUUUGUAAAAAUGAACUUGUUUAUAAGUCAUGAUGUUUUAAGUGUACUGUCCUAUGGUAUGCUAUUUAUCAGGUCUGCUCGGUAAAUUGGGCUCAGUGAGUGAUUUGUUCACUGAACAUUCAC